UACGUAGGGUGCGAGCGUUAAUCGGAAUUACUGGGCGUAAAGCGUGCGCAGGCGGUUGUGCAAGACCGAUGUGAAAUCCCCGGGCUUAACCUGGGAAUGGCAUUGGUGACUGCACGGCUAGAGUGUGUCAGAGGGGGGUAGAAUUCCACGUGUAGCAGUGAAAUGCGUAGAGAUGUGGGAGGAAUACCGAUGGCGAAAGGCGGGU
rnacentral:rRNA from 1 species